rnacentral:rRNA from 1 species
AGAGUUUGAUCCUGGCUCAGGAUGAACGCUAGCUACAGGCUUAACACAUGCAAGUCGAGGGGAAACGAUAUUGGAAGCUUGCUUCCGAUAGGCGUCGACCGGCGCACGGGUGAGUAACGCGUAUCCAACCUGCCCACCACUUGGGGAUAACCUUGCGAAAGUAAGACUAAUACCCAAUGAUAUCUCUAGAAGACAUCUGAAAGGGAUUAAAGAUUUAUCGGUGAUGGAUGGGGAUGCGUCUGAUUAGCUUGUUGGCGGGGUAACGGCCACCAAGGCGACGAUCAGGUAGGGGUUCUGAGAGGAAGGUCCCCCANAUUGGAACUGAGACACGGUCCAAACUCCGUACGGGAGCA